rnacentral:rRNA from 1 species
GACGAACGCUGGCGGCGUGCCUAAUACAUGCAAGUUGAGCGCUGAAGGUUGGUACUUGUACCAACUGGAUGAGCAGCGAACGGGUGAGUAACGCGUGGGGAAUCUGCCUUUGAGCGGGGGACAACAUUUGGAAACGAAUGCUAAUACCGCAUAAAAACUUUAAACACAAGUUUUAAGUUUGAAAGAUGCAAUUGCAUCACUCAAAGAUGAUCCCGCGUUGUAUUAGCUAGUUGGUGAGGUAAAGGCUCACCAAGGCGAUGAUACAUAGCCGACCUGAGAGGGUGAUCGGCCACAUUGGGACUGAGACACGGCCCAAACUCCUACGGGAGGCAGCAGGAGGGAAGCUUCGGCAAUGGACGAAAGUCUGACCGAGCAACGCCGCGUGAGUGAAGAAGGUUUUCGGAUCGUAAAACUCUGUUGGUAGAGAAGAACGUUGGUGAGAGUGGAAAGCUCAUCAAGUGACGGUAACUACCCAGAAAGGGACGGCUAACUACGUG